rnacentral:lncRNA from 1 species
GCAAAAAUGAACUUUUAUUACCUACAGGCUACAAGCACUAAAUAUGAUGUUCUUUGUUGAACAAAGUAAUUAAAAACCUAGCAUAUUUUUCCCCCAUUUUAUAUUGAAACUUGUAUUCUAAUUCAUAGCUUCUCUCAGUAUCCCAUCCCUGUAAACAAACAAACAAUCAAUGAAAACCUACUACUCACACUAUCAUAAAAAAGUAUCAAAUGAUGAUAUAAAUUUUUACUAUAAUUCCAGAUAUGAAUUUUUGGAUAUAGUUCAACACAGAUUGUUAACUGGAAAUAAUUAAUCUUCAGGAGAACUUCCGUCUUGGAAAGGGGCAUUCACAGGUUUAGCACUGCUGCAGUUGCUGAGGAGCCCAUCACUCCACCUGUUCAAAUCAAUUACACCCAGCUGCUAGAUAUAUUGCGAUUAGAUCCUCUGACCCAGCGAGUACAUACAUGAUAAAUAAGCUACUAUAGAAACAAGACUAAUGUUCUUUUAGCAGUUGAAGAUGGAAAAAAGAAGCAAGCAGCUACUUACAUUGCAAUCAAGAGCAUAUCUCCUCGCCGGCACAAUGGCAGCAAGAUUCAAAGAAGAAAGUACAAAAAGCUAAGUCCUUACCCGUUCGUUUUCAACUGAGACCACGAAGAGACUGGCCGGAGAGAGAACACGACGUCCGGCGAGCUUCAGAGCUUCGAGACCAGUCGGUAGAAGAGAGAGGAGAGUCGCGAUUUGGGGAAAAAUUGUAAGGGAUCCCUGAUAUCUUUUUUGACCCGACCGGGUCAGUAUUUUUUUA